GUAGGUGAACCUGCGGAAGGAUCAUUACACUCAGUAGUUUUCUACUGCUCAGGGAGAGGGGAAAGUCUCCAGCCUGUUCCGGCAGCUGGUGUACGAGUACGCUCUCUUUCUGAACCCUUGUCUUUUUGCGUACUUCUGUUUCCUCGGCGGGUCUGCCCGCCGCAUGGACAACUUAACCACCUUUUUGAAUUUUCAAUCAGCGUCUGAACAAUUAUAAUAAUUACAACUUUCAACAACGGAUCUCUUGGUU
rnacentral:misc_RNA from 1 species